AUGGAGAGAAAUGGCGGGAAGCAGCAGCAGCAGCAGCAGCUGGAGACGGCGGCGCCGGCGCCGGCGCCGAGGAAGGGUGCGUGGCGGGACGGCGCCGUCACCUACUUCCACCUCCUCUUCUACAUCGCCAUCUCCGGCGGCCAGAUCUUCUUCAACAAGUGGGUGCUAUCCUCAAAAGAGAUCAACUUCCCCUAUCCAGUGGCACUAACUUUGCUGCAUAUGCUCUUCUCAUCUGUAGUAUGCUUUGCAGCUACAAAGAUUUUCAAGGUCAUAAAGAUUGAUGAAGGAAUGACUACAGAUGUAUAUGUGAGUUCAGUCAUUCCAAUUGGAGCAAUGUUUGCAAUGACACUUUGGCUAGGGAACAGUGCAUACCUCUACAUAUCUGUUGCAUUUGCACAGAUGUUGAAGGCAAUAAUGCCUGUAGCCGUGUUUCUCCUUGGAACAGCAUUUGGCCUUGAAGAAAUGAACUGUAAAAUGCUUGCUAUCAUGUCUAUCAUCAGCGUGGGAGUUAUUGUGGCCUCUGUUGGUGAAAUUACAAUCAGCUGGGUCGGAGUGGUGUAUCAGAUGGGUGGAGUUGUAGCGGAGGCCCUUAGACUUAUCUUUAUCGAGAUAUUUUUGAAGAAGAAGGGUGUUAGACUGAACUUGAUAUCCAUGAUGUACUAUGUUAGCCCUUGCAGUGCCUUUUGCCUGUUCAUUCCCUGGUUGUUCUUAGAGAAGCCAAAGAUGGAUGCAAGUAUUUCAUGGAACUUCCCACCAGUUACAUUGUUCUUAAACUGCAUGUGCACAUUCGUACUUAAUCUGUCAGUUUUCCUUGUCAUUUCCCGGACAAGUGCACUGACAGCUCGUGUUACUGGAGUUGUGAGAGAUUGGAGUGUGGUGCUGCUGUCAGCUGCUAUUUUUGCUGAUACAAAGCUUACCUUCAUAAACAUAGUUGGCUAUGCCAUAGCCAUAGUAGGUGUUGUUGCAUAUAACAAUCAUAAGCUUAAACCCCAAGUGAACCAGCAGCAGGGUGCUGACAGCAAAGUCAGCCCAGGAAGCCCUCGACAUGUCGAGAUACCAUUGAACUCUACAAAAGAAUCUUCAUAA
rnacentral:rRNA from 1 species